AGCAGAGUGGUUCAGUGGGUAGAGCAUAGGCCCGGGAGUCAGAAGGACCUGGGUUUGAAUCCCAGUUCUGCCA
rnacentral:tRNA from 1 species